rnacentral:snRNA from 1 species
UUGCUUCAGCAGCAUAUGAACUAAAACUGCAAUGAUCCAGAGAAGAUUAGCAUGACCCCUGUGUAAGGAUGACACAUACAUUCAUGAAGCAUCCCAUAUUUUU